rnacentral:rRNA from 1 species
UACGUAGGGGGCAAGCGUUGUCCGGAAUCAUUGGGCGUAAAGAGCGUGUAGGCGGUCCGUUAAGUCGGCUGUGAAAGUCCAGGGCUCAACCCUGGGAUGCCGGCCGAUACUGGCGGACUAGAGUCCGGAAGAGGUGAGUGGAAUUCCCGGUGUAGCGGUGAAAUGCGCAGAUAUCGGGAGGAACACCCGUGGCGAAAGCGGCUCUCUGGAACGGUACUGACGCUGAGACGCGAAAGCGUGGGGAGCGAACAGG